CGCUAGUAAUCGCGAAUCAGAAUGUCGCGGUGAAUACGUUCCCGGGUCUUGUACACACCGCCCGUCACACCAUGGGAGUUGGUAACGCCCGAAGUCAGUGACCCAACCGCAAGGAGGGAGCUGCCGAAGGCGGGACUGAUAACUGGGGUGAAGUCGUAACAAGGUAGCCGUAUCGGAAGGUGCGGCUGGAUCACCUCCUUUCUAAGGAA
rnacentral:rRNA from 1 species